rnacentral:lncRNA from 1 species
AACGGAAAACCAAACACCACAUGUUCUCACCUGUGAUUUCUAUUUUCUUUUCAACUUAAAAAGGUGUAUCAAUAUUCCAUCUUAAGACAAUAUGGUAGCCAUGAAGUCUAUGUAAGAAAGGCCUAAAGUCAUGACCCCCAUGACUUUCAGAUGAGACUACUCUGGAUGCAAAUGUGAACGGCUUCCUGUACUGCACUCUGCCAUUCCUCAUAACCUCUGGGCUGAUUAAAGUUCAAUUAGUUGGAACAUUUUAUUUCUCUCAUUCCCAAGAGUCUUUCUGGACUCCUCUAUAAGUGUGCUCUAAUUAGAAUUAAUAGAUGAGUUGCAAAUUUGUUUAUCCUGUCUUUGCAUUUAUUUUCUAUUUUCAGAGAUGAUUUUAGUCUUUUAGGUUUGAAACUUUUCCCCAGUAUGUAAAGGCCUUCUUCAAUCAACCUCUGGUGAACUGAGUGCUAAAGAGAAGCCUGUUUAUUCAAAUACUCUUUAUUCCUUCUUAGGAUAUUUUAUUUACAUUCUAAAAGCUUUUAGGAUGUAUUAAAGUUUCAUACUGAUGGAUUUAGUUGUGGAUCUUCGUUUCACUAAAUGUGCUGGGCAUUCACUGUACCCAUGCAAUCUGCUGCCUGUUGACCUUGGCAGCACUGAUAUUCCCUUUUGGACUCUUCCUCUAUUCUCUUAUAUGUGUAAAUGUUUCUAAAUAUUUAAAUCUUUACCUCAUUAUUUUGUUUUUUUGAGAUAAUAAUCUUCAA